rnacentral:rRNA from 1 species
UCAAGCUAUUCGGGCGCAUGAUGGAUGCCUUGGCGACAGCGGGCGACGAAGGACGCGGCAAGCCGCGAUAGUCCACGGGUAGGCGCAGGCGGCCCUUGAUCCGUGGGUUUCCGAAUGGAGCAAUCCGGCGCCGUUGAUGCGGCGCCAUCCCGGCAUGAAUCCAUAGUGCCGGGAGGCCACACCCGGGGAAGUGAAACAUCUCAGUACCCGGAGGAGAAGAAAUCAAUCGAGAUUCCGUGAGUAGUGGCGAGCGAAAGCGGAAGAGCCCAAACCGCCGGGCGUGCCCGGCGGGGUUGCGGGACCUGGCCGCGGCGGGCAAGCCGUUAGCGCAAGCCGCUGGAAAGCGGCGCCGCGGAGGGUGAAAGCCCCGUGCGCGAAAACAGCUUGCCCCGCCUACAGGCAUCCCAAGUAGGGCGGGACACGUGAAACCCCGCCUGAAUCCGGGGGGCCCACCCCCCAAGGCUAAAUACCUGCUGUCGACCGAUAGUGCACAAGUACCGCGAGGGAAAGGUGAAAAGAACCCCUUUUAGGGGAGUGAAACAGACCCUGAAAUCAUGCGCCCCCAAACUGUGGGAGCCCCCUUUGGGGGUGACCGCAUGCCUUUUGCAUAAUGAGCCUGCGAGUUGCCGCGCCGCGGCGAGGUUAAGCCCUUGGCGGAGCCGAAGCGAAAGCGAGUGCGAACAGCGCGAUUUCCAGUCGCGCGCGGCAGACCCGAAGCUGGGUGAUCUAUCCAUGGCCAGGCUGAACCCCCGGUGAUGCGGGGCGGAGGGCCGAACCAGUUGAUGUUGAAAAAUCUUUGGAUGAGCUGUGGAUAGGGGUGAAAGGCCAAUCAAACCCAGUGAUAGCUGGUUCUCUCCGAAAUAGCUUUAGGGCUAGCCCCGGGCCAUUGGCGCGCGGGGGUAGAGCUACCGGCUGACCGAGGGUCCCCACCGGGAUGCCGACGUCAUCCGAACUCCGAAUACCGCGCGCACCUACCCCGGGAGUCAGACGGCGGGGGAUAAGCUCCGUCGUCAAAAGGGAAACAGCCCAGACCGCCGACUAAGGCCCCCAAUCGCCCGCUGAGUGGAUUGUAAGGAGGUGGGGCCGCGCAGACAGCCAGGAUGUUGGCUCAGAGGCAGCCAUCAUUUAAAGACCGCGUAAUAGCCCACUGGCCGAGUGGCCCCGCGCCGAAAAUGAUCGGGACUGAAGCGGGCAGCCGACGUCGCGGAGACGCGAUUGUGAUCGCGAUCUGGUAGGAGAGCGCCGCAUGCCGGCUGAAGGCGCGCCGCGAGGCGCGCUGGACGGCAUGCGGGUGACCAUGCAGGCAUGAGUAGCGACAAGGCGGGUGCGAAUCCCGCCCACCGAAAAUCCAAGGUUUCCUGGGCCAGGUUCGUCCCCCCAGGGUCAGUCGGGUCCUAAGGCGAGGCCGAAAGGCGUAGUCGAUGGCCGCCAGGCGAACAUUCCUGGACCCGUGGGGUUAGGCCGCCGGAUGACGCGGCGAAGCUGAGGCGCCUCCGAAUGGUUGUGGAGGUCGGGCGCAGGCCCGGGUGCCCUUUCCGCAAGGUUUGGGCGAAGGUCUUGGCGGAGCCGCCGAGAAAAGUCCGUCGUCCGCUUGAAUCCCCCCGGCCCGUACCGCAAACCGACACAGGUGGAUGGGUCGAGAAGACUAAGGUGCGCGAGAGAAACCACGUUAAGGAACUCGGCAAAAUGGCCCCGUAACUUUGGGAGAAGGGGCGCUCCGGGCAUUAAGGGUCAAACUAAGGUGCCCGGAGCCGCAGUGAAUGGGCCCAGGCGACUGUUUAGCAAAAACACAGCACUAUGCCAACUCGCAAGAGGACGUAUAUGGUGUGACACGUGACCAAUGCCGAAAGGUCAAGCGGACGGGUCAGCCGCAAGGCGAAGCUCCGAAGUGAAGCCCCGGUGAAUGUCGGCCGUAACUAUAACGGUCCUAAGGUAGCGAAAUUCCUUGUCGGGUAAGUUCCGACCUGCACGAAUCGUGUAACGAUCUGGGCGCUGUCUCAACGUGGAUCUCGGUGAAGUUGUAGUUCCGGUGAAAAUGCCGGAUACCUGCGGAAGGACGGAAAGACCCCAUGAACCUUCACUGUUGCCUGACAUUGGCAAUCGGCCAUCCACGUGCAGGAUAGGUGGGAGGCUUUGAGGCUCCGGCGUCAGCCGGUGCGGAGCCGGCGGUGAGAUACCACCCCUGGGUGCCUGGUUGUCUAACCCCGACCCGUCUAUCCGGGCGCGGGACCGUGUCAGGCGGUCAGUUUGACUGGGGCGGUUUCCUCCCAAAACGUAACGGAGGAGCUCGAAGGUCGGCUCAGCGCGUUUGGCAACCGCGCGUCGAGUGCAAGGGCACAAGCCGGCCUCACUGCGAGACCGACGGGUCGAGCAGACGCGAAAGCGGGACCUAGUGAUCCAGCGGUGGAAUGUGGCAUCGCCGUUGCUCAUCGGACAAAAGGUACUCUGGGGAUAACAGGCUGAUCGCGCCCAAGCGUCCACAGCGACGGCGCGGUUUGGCACCUCGAUGUCGGCUCAUCACAUCCUGGGGCUGAAGCAGGUCCCAAGGGUUCGGCUGUUCGCCGAUUAAAGUGGUACGCGAGCUGGGUUCAGAACGUCGUGAGACAGUUCGGUCCUUAUCCUCCGCAGGCGGAGGACGGUUGACGGGAGCGCUCCCUAGUACGAGAGGACCGGGGGCGGGCGGCCUCUGGUGUUCCGGUUGUCCGGCCAACGGGCACUGCCGGGUAGCCACGCCGCGACGGGAUAAGCGCUGAAAGCAUCUAAGCGCCAAGCCUCCCCGAAGAUGAUCCGUCCCAGUGCGCAAGCACUCUGAAGGCCCCCGGAAGAAGACCGGGUUGGCAGGCCGGGGGCGCAAGGCCAGCGAUGGCUUCACCCUACCGGUUCUGAUCGGCCGUGCGGCUUGACCGC